GCCUCACUCUCUUCCUCUCUCAUCUCGCCGAACGCUCUCUCGGCGCCGUCACCCGACGGUUCGAUCCCUCCGCCGCCGUACGACCUCUCGCGCCACUGCUAGGCACCGAGCCCAUGCGCCGCAGAUCCGCGAUCCUCGGCAGUCAGAUUCGACUUGGAUGGGCGGAAGAGCUCGCUAUCUGGAUCUAGGUGGCACUACCUUCCUUAGAGCUGAUCGUGGGAGAAGCUGUCACGCAUCUUGGGGCCUGCCGCCACCGCAGGUCAGCUGCUCCCGCCGGCCGCAUGCCCCACUCCCCGGCCGCCGCGGUCCGCUGUGGCGCUGCUGACUCUCCUGCUCGUCGCGUGGUGGCCUCAUCUCCCCGGUCGCCCUUCUCAUUUGCAUCCAGCCACAGCUCUGCCUCCUUCCUCAUGCCGCUCGAGCUGUUCCAGUGAGGCUACAAAGCAGUCUACUAUUGUAUGGAGCAGAGCUAUGUACUGGUCUGAUUUCUCCCGAGUAUACUCUGCUUUCGGGUGUCUGAUUUGAUGACAAGAAUAUUGUGUUGACGGUCAACCUGGACUGUAAAUUGGAACCGGAAGCAAUAGCUCUCCAGGCACGCAAUGCAGAGUAUAACCCCAAGGCCCUGAAGCAGGCGCAGGGGACUGAUCUGUGUGCAUUCUGCGUUUGCGAGAACAUUUGCAUGAUGGCGUCCGAAAGGAGCAGAUCUCAAAGACAGGA